rnacentral:lncRNA from 1 species
UCCUUUGUUGAUAGGAAGCCAUUUUUAGUUGAGCUUGUCUCUGAGUUUCGUCGAGCAAGUCCAAAUCACCUCGUCGCUUAUCCAAAUUUAUCAAUUCGUCGUAAUGCUCCACUCGAGUUGAGGGUAGAUCAAUUUCUACUGGGAUCAUGACUUCUGUCCUGAAUAUCAAAUUGAAAGGAGUCUCUUCGAUCGAGAUCCGAGAAGUUGUUCGGUAAGACCAUAAGAUACUGUAGAGCUCAUCGGCUCAAUUUUCUUUAGCCUGAUCGAUUUUUAUUUUUAGGCCCUGUAGUAUUGUCCUAUUGAUUACCUCAGCUUCUCCAUU